CCUGCCCUUGGGUCCGGCAUAACCCCGGGAAACUGGGGAUAAUUCCGGAUAACGCACAUAUGCUGGAAUGCUUUAUGCGUCAAAUGGAUUCGUCUGCCCAAGGAUGGGUCUGCGGCCUAUCAGGUAGUAGUGGGUGUAAUGUACCUACUAGCCGACGACGGGUACGGGUUGUGAGAGCAAGAGCCCGGAGAUGGAUUCUGAGACAUGAAUCCAGGCCCUACGGGGCGCAGCAGGCGCGAAAACUUUACAAUGCGGGAAACCGUGAUAAGGGGACACCGAGUGCCAGCAUCAUAUGCUGGCUGUCCGGGUGUGUAAAAUACACCUGUUAGCAAGGGCCGAGCAAGACCGGUGCCAGCCGCCGCGGUAACACCGGCGGCCCGAGUGGUGAUCGUGAUUAUUGGGUCUAAAGGGUCCGUAGCCGGUUUGGUCAGUCCUCCGGGAAAUCUGACGGCUUAACCGUUAGGCUUUCGGAGGAUACUGCCAGGCUUGGAACCGGGAGAGGUAAGAGGUACUACAGGGGUAGGAGUGAAAUCUUGUAAUCCCUGUGGGA
rnacentral:rRNA from 1 species